rnacentral:rRNA from 1 species
CAGUCGCCGCGGUAAUACGGAGGGUGCAAGCGUUAAUCGGAAUUACUGGGCGUAAAGCGCACGCAGGCGGUCUGACAAGUCAGAUGUGAAAUCCCCGGGCUUAACCUGGGAACUGCAUUUGAAACUGUCAGGCUGGAGUCUUGUAGAGGGGGGUGGAAUUCCAGGUGUAGCGGUGAAAUGCGUAGAGAUCUGGAGGAAUACCGGUGGCGAAGGCGGCCCCCUGGACAAAGACUAACGCUCAGGUGCGAAAGCGUGGGGAGCAAACAGGAUUAGAUACCCGCGUAGUCCCUGUCUCUUAUAC